CAUGCCUAACACAUGCAAGUCGAACGGAACUUCUUUAAUUGAUUUCUUCGGAAUGAUUUUGAUUAAGUUUAGUGGCGGACGGGUGAGUAACGCGUGAGUAACCUGCCUCUGAGAGGGGAAUAACAUUCUGAAAAGAAUGCUAAUACCGCAUAACAUAUAUUUAUCGCAUGGUAGAUAUAUCAAAGAUUUAUCGCUCAGAGAUGGACUCGCGUCCGAUUAGUUAGUUGGUGAGGUAACGGCUCACCAAGACCGCGAUCGGUAGCCGGACUGAGAGGUUGAACGGCCACAUUGGGACUGAGACACGGCCCAGACUCCUACGGGAGGCAGCAGUGGGGGAUAUUGCGCAAUGGGGGAAACCCUGACGCAGCAACGCCGCGUGAAGGAUGAAGGUCUUCGGAUUGUAAACUUCUUUUAUUAAGGACGAAGAAAGUGACGGUACUUAAUGAAUAAGCUCCGGCUAACUACGUGCCAGCAGCCGCCGUAA
rnacentral:rRNA from 1 species